UUAAGCGACUAAGCGUACACGGUGGAUGCCCUGGCAGUCAGAGGCGAUGAAGGACGUGCUAAUCUGCGAUAAGCGUCGGUAAGGUGAUAUGAACCGUUAUAACCGGCGAUUUCCGAAUGGGGAAACCCAGUGUGAUUCGUCACACUAUCAUUAACUGAAUCCAUAGGUUAAUGAGGCGAACCGGGGGAACUGAAACAUCUAAGUACCCCGAGGAAAAGAAAUCAACCGAGAUUCCCCCAGUAGCGGCGAGCGAACGGGGAGCAGCCCAGAGCCUGAAUCAGUGUGUGUGUUAGUGGAAGCGUCUGGAAAGGCGUGCGAUACAGGGUGACAGCCCCGUACACAAAAAUGCACAUGCUGUGAGCUCGAUGAGUAGGGCGGGACACGUGGUAUCCUGUCUGAAUAUGGGGGGACCAUCCUCCAAGGCUAAAUACUCCUGACUGACCGAUAGUGAACCAGUACCGUGAGGGAAAGGCGAAAAGAACCCCGGCGAGGGGAGUGAAAAAGAACCUGAAACCGUGUACGUACAAGCAGUGGGAGCACGCUUAGGCGUGUGACUGCGUACCUUUUGUAUAAUGGGUCAGCGACUUAUAUUCUGUAGCAAGGUUAACCGAAUAGGGGAGCCGAAGGGAAACCGAGUCUUAACUGGGCGUUAAGUUGCAGGGUAUAGACCCGAAACCCGGUGAUCUAGCCAUGGGCAGGUUGAAGGUUGGGUAACACUAACUGGAGGACCGAACCGACUAAUGUUGAAAAAUUAGCGGAUGACUUGUGGCUGGGGGUGAAAGGCCAAUCAAACCGGGAGAUAGCUGGUUCUCCCCGAAAGCUAUUUAGGUAGCGCCUCGUGAAUUCAUCUCCGGGGGUAGAGCACUGUUUCGGCAAGGGGGUCAUCCCGACUUACCAACCCGAUGCAAACUGCGAAUACCGGAGAAUGUUAUCACGGGAGACACACGGCGGGUGCUAACGUCCGUCGUGAAGAGGGAAACAACCCAGACCGCCAGCUAAGGUCCCAAAGUCAUGGUUAAGUGGGAAACGAUGUGGGAAGGCCCAGACAGCCAGGAUGUUGGCUUAGAAGCAGCCAUCAUUUAAAGAAAGCGUAAUAGCUCACUGGUCGAGUCGGCCUGCGCGGAAGAUGUAACGGGGCUAAACCAUGCACCGAAGCUGCGGCAGCGACGCUUAUGCGUUGUUGGGUAGGGGAGCGUUCUGUAAGCCUGUGAAGGUGUACUGUGAGGUAUGCUGGAGGUAUCAGAAGUGCGAAUGCUGACAUAAGUAACGAUAAAGCGGGUGAAAAGCCCGCUCGCCGGAAGACCAAGGGUUCCUGUCCAACGUUAAUCGGGGCAGGGUGAGUCGACCCCUAAGGCGAGGCCGAAAGGCGUAGUCGAUGGGAAACAGGUUAAUAUUCCUGUACUUGGUGUUACUGCGAAGGGGGGACGGAGAAGGCUAUGUUGGCCGGGCGACGGUUGUCCCGGUUUAAGCGUGUAGGCUGGUUUUCCAGGCAAAUCCGGAAAAUCAAGGCUGAGGCGUGAUGACGAGGCACUACGGUGCUGAAGCAACAAAUGCCCUGCUUCCAGGAAAAGCCUCUAAGCAUCAGGUAACAUCAAAUCGUACCCCAAACCGACACAGGUGGUCAGGUAGAGAAUACCAAGGCGCUUGAGAGAACUCGGGUGAAGGAACUAGGCAAAAUGGUGCCGUAACUUCGGGAGAAGGCACGCUGAUAUGUAGGUGAAGCGACUUGCUCGUGGAGCUGAAAUCAGUCGAAGAUACCAGCUGGCUGCAACUGUUUAUUAAAAACACAGCACUGUGCAAACACGAAAGUGGACGUAUACGGUGUGACGCCUGCCCGGUGCCGGAAGGUUAAUUGAUGGGGUCAGCGCAAGCGAAGCUCUUGAUCGAAGCCCCGGUAAACGGCGGCCGUAACUAUAACGGUCCUAAGGUAGCGAAAUUCCUUGUCGGGUAAGUUCCGACCUGCACGAAUGGCGUAAUGAUGGCCAGGCUGUCUCCACCCGAGACUCAGUGAAAUUGAACUCGCUGUGAAGAUGCAGUGUACCCGCGGCAAGACGGAAAGACCCCGUGAACCUUUACUAUAGCUUGACACUGAACAUUGAGCCUUGAUGUGUAGGAUAGGUGGGAGGCUUGGAAGUGUGGACGCCAGUCUGCAUGGAGCCGACCUUGAAAUACCACCCUUUAAUGUUUGAUGUUCUAACGUUGACCCGUAAUCCGGGUUGCGGACAGUGUCUGGUGGGUAGUUUGACUGGGGCGGUCUCCUCCUAAAGAGUAACGGAGGAGCACGAAGGUUGGCUAAUCCUGGUCGGACAUCAGGAGGUUAGUGCAAUGGCAUAAGCCAGCUUGACUGCGAGCGUGACGGCGCGAGCAGGUGCGAAAGCAGGUCAUAGUGAUCCGGUGGUUCUGAAUGGAAGGGCCAUCGCUCAACGGAUAAAAGGUACUCCGGGGAUAACAGGCUGAUACCGCCCAAGAGUUCAUAUCGACGGCGGUGUUUGGCACCUCGAUGUCGGCUCAUCACAUCCUGGGGCUGAAGUAGGUCCCAAGGGUAUGGCUGUUCGCCAUUUAAAGUGGUACGCGAGCUGGGUUUAGAACGUCGUGAGACAGUUCGGUCCCUAUCUGCCGUGGGCGCUGGAGAACUGAGGGGGGCUGCUCCUAGUACGAGAGGACCGGAGUGGACGCAUCACUGGUGUUCGGGUUGUCAUGCCAAUGGCACUGCCCGGUAGCUAAAUGCGGAAGAGAUAAGUGCUGAAAGCAUCUAAGCACGAAACUUGCCCCGAGAUGAGUUCUCCCUGAGACUUUAAGUCUCCUGAAGGAACGUUGAAGACGACGACGUUGAUAGGCCGGGUGUGUAAGCGCAGCGAUGCGUUGAGCUAACCGGUACUAAUGAACCGUGAGGCUUAACCU
rnacentral:rRNA from 1 species